rnacentral:rRNA from 2 species
UGAGGAAUAUUGGUCAAUGGAGGCAACUCUGAACCAGCCAAGUAGCGUGAGGGAUGACUGCCCUACGGGUUGUAAACCUCUUUUGUCGGGGAAUAAACCGCGCCACGUGUGGCGCCCUGCAUGUACCCGCAGAAUAAGGACCGGCUAAUUCCGUGCCAGCAGCCGCGGUAAUACGGAAGGUCCGAGCGUUAUCCGGAUUUAUUGGGUUUAAAGGGAGCGUAGGCGGGCUGUUAAGCCAGCCGUCAAAUUGCGGGGCUCAACCCCGUACCGCGGUUGGAACUGGCGGCCUUGAGUCGGCAAGAGGCGCGUGGAAUUCGUGGUGUAGCGGUGAAAUGCAUAGAUAUCACGAGGAACUCCGAUUGCGAAGGCAGCGCGCUGGGGCCGUACUGACGCUGAUGCUCGAAGGCGCGGGUAUCAAACAGG